UUUCCGUAGGUGAACCUGCGGAAGGAUCAUUCAUAAUAAGUGUAUUAUGGCACUUUUUUAAAUCCUUAACCACCUUGUGUGCAAUGUCAGGCCUGACUUUUCUCUCGGGGGGACCAGACCAAAACAUCAACUAUAUCCCAACUGUUUGUCUGAAAAAUAUUAUGAGUAUAACAAUUCAAACUACAACUUUCAACAACGGAUCUCUUGGCUCUC
rnacentral:misc_RNA from 1 species